ensembl:lncRNA
GGCUCCAGCUGGCUCCGCCUCCGCCUCUAACCCCUCCCCGCCGGGCCCGGACCACGCUAGCCGCUGCCUAGCCCGGGCUCCCGGCAGGAGGGCGCCCGGGCCCAGUACCCGAGUGCCCCGGUCUCUAGAGGGCUACGGAGCGCGUCUGCCUCCAGGACCGGGUAUUUGACUGAGCAGCCUGCGAAGUAGAGCGCGGAAGGUCCGCAGUGGGUGCGGCGCGGCGCAGUCGGGGCUAGCCCACUUGCUCAGCGUAGCUUUUCUAGAGCGUCGGGGGUCUCGAGGGGCCGGGGUUGGACAGCAGCUGCGCGACUCCGAGGGACUCUUCUCUGCAGAUCCAGGCCCGCACCUAUCUGCAGAUGUUCUUCCAUAGAGCAAUUCUCUGCACUUCUUAGAAACAACUGUUGCUUAUACAACUGUUGCUUAUAGCAGAAGACAGCCUUUAUCUCUUCCAGUGAUCCACAGACUUGAUGAAAUCAGUUCGGGCCUCAGAGAGAAGAUGAAUUGUAAGCAAAAUUCAAAAAUCACGAUUCUGGGGAAAGAGACCCCCAAAUCCAGAGCCCUGUAGUACCAGCCCUGCUAGUUCAACUGAAGGCUGCAGCAUGCCCUGAUCUAAACGGGAAAACACAACAAGGAAAAUAUCAGAAGCACAAGCCAGAGCUGUUGUCCUCCUUACUCAUCCACUCAUCCAUCAAGAUAAGUCAGCACAUACAGUAUCUCUUCGUUUCCAGCAUCGUCC